AGAUCCUAGAGAGAGAGAAGAGUGUUUUUGUAUCAUUCUAACCAGUGGUUUCUCUGACUUUAUGAGGUUGUUUUGAUAGUUAUACAGAGGACAGAAUGAGGAUAUAUAUGAACCAUAAAACGUGGAAUGUUAGAUGUUUUGAUAAAUCAGGAUUGUGUUUGUGUGUGUUCAAUUGAAAGGAGUUAAUGAAAAAUGAAACAUUUUAAAAUACAUUUGUAUUGUAAAUAUAAUUUCUUCUCCUCCCUGCCCAGUUUUGUGGGUGAGGUGUAUGUCUAUAGAUGUUAUUUCAGUCUAGAUUGGACUUUAAGUUAUCGUCGUUGAACAUGGCCCCCCUUUCGGGAAUCCCUGGACUUCACCAUGACCACUGCAGUACUUGUCUCCCAUCUGAAGAGGAUGAUGUUGUGAUGAUGUCACAACAGAAGAGAAUCGAUCCUAUAGCCUGAUGUCACAACAGAAGAGAAUCGAUCCUAUAGCCUGAUGUCACAACAGAAGAGAAUCGAUCCUAUAGCAUGAUGUCACAACAGAAGGGAAUCGAUCCUAUAGCCUGAUGUCACAACAGAAGAGAAUCGAUCCUAUAGCCUGAUGUCACAACAGAAGAGAAUCGAUCCUAUAGACUGAUGUCACAACAGAAGAGAAUCGAUCCUAUAGCCUGAUGUCACAACAGAAGAGAAUCAAUCCUAUAGCCUGAUGUCACAACAGAAGAGAAUCGAUCCUAUAGCCUGAUGUCACAACAGAAGAGAAUCGAUCGUAUAGCCUGAUGUCACAACAGAAGAGAAUCGAUCCUAUAGACUGAUGUCACAACAGAAGAGAAUCGAUCCUAUAGCCUGAUGUCACAACAGAAGGGAAUCGAUCCUAUAGCCUGAUGUCACAACAGAAGGGAAUCGAACCUACAGACUGAUGUCACAACAGAAGGGAAUCGAUCCUAUAGCCUGAUGUCACAACAGAAGAGAAUCGAUCCUAUUGCCUGAUGUCACAACAGAAGAGAAUCGAUCCUAUAGCCUGAUGUCACAACAGAAGUGAAUCGAUCCUAUAGCCUGAUGUCACAACAGAAGGGAAUCGAUCCUAUAGCCUGAUGUCACAACAGAAGGGAAUCGAUCCUAUAGACUGAUGUCACAACAGAAGAGAAUCGAUCCUAUAGCCUGAUGUCACAACAGAAGGGAAUCGAUCCUAUAGCCUGAUGUCACAACAGAAGGGAAUCGAUCCUAUAGCCUGAUGUCACAACAGAAGAGAAUCGAUCCUAUAGCCUGAUGUCACAACAGAAGAGAAUCGAUCCUGUAGCCUGAUGUCACAACAGAAGAGAAUCGCUCCUAUAGCCUGAUGUCACAACAGAAGAGAAUCGAUCCUAUAGCCUGAUGUCACAACAGAAGAGAAUCGCUCCUAUAGCCUGAUGUCACAACAGAAGAGAAUCGAUCCUAUAGCCUGAUGUCACAACAGAAGGGAAUCGAUCCUGUAGCCUGAUGUCACAACAGAAGGGAAUCGAUCCUAUAGACUGAUGUCACAACAGAAGAGAAUCGAUCCUAUAGACUGAUGUCACAACAGAAGGGAAUCGAUCCUAUAGACUGAUGUCACAACAGAAGGGAAUCGAUCCUAUAGACUGAUGUCACAACAGAAGGGAAUCGAUCCUAUAGCCUGGCGCCAGAUCUAUUUGUGCUGUAUACAGCCACAUCCAUGACAAGGUCCAUAUGAGUUGGCAAGACAGCACCAACAGAUCUGGGACCAGGCUAAACUGACUCAUUGUCUUUCAUUGUUUUUCAUCUCAGUCCCAAACUAGUAACCAACGGAUGGAUGGAUGAAUUCAAAUGAUUUGUUUUCUUCUUCUUUGUUGUCUGAAAGAAACAUUCAGCUUGACUCUCGUACAGUAACGCCAGACAGACCAGACCAGAUGUAAUGUGACAUCUGUUUGUGCUGUCUUCACCAACUCUGUGGCAAUGACCAUAGGAACUGGUAAGAUAGCGCAUAGUUACAUUGUAGCACGUUUAUUGAUCAGCACUAUUGAGUGUUAAUGACUUUCUGCUCUCGAUACAGUACAUCCGUCCACAGACAACGGGACCAUGACUCUCUGCACCAAUGAAUGGACAAAGCCAUUGAUCGCGUGUCACAAUUCAUUCCUAUGUGAAGACUCGAUAGCGCAUUGAAGCCAAAUUAAUUUGGGUAAGAUGGCGUCUCAUGGAGACAUGACAUGCAGCCGUUUGAGCUACUCCAGAAUGUGACGUUGCAGGCUAGCUCAGUGCUGCCCCCUUCUCGUUGAUAAACUCACAUUGUAGGCCGACCGCGGUCUGCAGACUGUCAUUAGCAACUAAUCCUUAUCCUGCGAUAGAAAAAUAUAUAUCGGUUCGAGGACAUACAUCUGGUGUUUCAGAAGCAAUUAUUGGCAGCAUGACUGUCUUUGAAAAUGUUUUUUAAUUACACGACGAUUGACCACGAAGAUCAAAAAAUGUCAAAUUCACUAUAAUGGAGAAUCCUGUUUUUGCAAACAAUGCCUGCAGUACCGCAGCCUGCCUCAAACUCCUGUGGCUUUAAUGAGAGUGGGAAGUCGUUCUCAUCCAAUGGCUGCCAUGUUUUUGGAUGACGUGAGUGAUGUCAUCACUUUACCAUGGUUACCAUUACAACAUGCCUUACAGUACUCAGUCUGAUAACUACUCAAGAGAGUGUCUUUACCAUAACAGGACAGUAUGAAGGAAGAAACUAUUUCUCCAAUAGAAAUCCUCGAUAAUGUUUGUAGGCGAUGUCAUGGCAACGUUGGCUCGCUAAGCUCAUGUGCAGAACACGUCAUCAGGUCUAACUGAUGUCCUGAACUGCCCAUGUGCAGAACACGUCAUCAGGUCUAACUGAUGUCCUGAACUGCCCAUGUGCAGAACACGUCAUCAGGUCUAACUGAUGUCCUGAACUGCCCAUGUGCAGAACACGUCAUCAGGUCUAAAGGCUGUCCUGAACUGCCCAUGUGCAGAACAUGUCAUCAGGUCUAAAGGCUGUCCUGAACUGCCCAUGUGCAGAACACGUCAUCAGGUCUAAAGGCUGUCCUGAACUGCCCAUGUGCAGAACAUGUCAUCAGGUCUAAAGGCUGUCCUGAACUGCCCAUGUGCAGAACACGUCAUCAGGUCUAAAGGCUGUCCUGAACUGCCCAUGUGCAGAACACGUCAUCAGGUCUAAAGGUUGUCCUGAACUGCCCAUGUGCAGAACACGUCAUCAGGUCUAAAGGCUGUCCUGAACUGCCCAUGUGCAGAACACGUCAUCAGGUCUAAAGGCUGUCCUGAACUGCCCAUGUGCAGAACAUGUCAUCAGGUCUAACUGAUGUCCUGAACUGCCCAUGUGCAGAACACGUCAUCAGGUCUAAAGGCUGUCCUGAACUGCCCAUGUGCAGAACACGUCAUCAGGUCUAACUGAUGUCCUGAACUGCCCAUGUGCAGAACACGUCAUCAGGUCUAAAGGCUGUCCUGAACUGCCCAUGUGCAGAACACGUCAUCAGGUCUAACUGAUGUCCUGAACUGCCCAUGUGCAGAACACGUCAUCAGGUCUAAAGGCUGUCCUGAACUGCCCAUGUGCAGAACACGUCAUCAGGUCUAACUGAUGUCCUGAACUGCCCAUGUGCAGAACACGUCAUCAGGUCUAAAGGCUGUCCUGAACUGCCCAUGUGCAGAACACGUCAUCAGGUCUAACUGAUGUCCUGAACUGCCCAUGUGCAGAACACGUCAUCAGGUCUAAAGGCUGUCCUGAACUGCCCAUGUGCAGAACACGUCAUCAGGUCUAACUGAUGUCCUGAACUGCCCAUGUGCAGAACACGUCAUCAGGUCUAACUGAUGUCCUGAACUGCCCAUGUGCAGAACACGUCAUCAGGUCUAAAGGCUGUCCUGAACUGCCCAUGUGCAGAACACGUCAUCAGGUCUAACUGAUGUCCUGAACUGCCCAUGUGCAGAACACGUCAUCAGGUCUAACGGUUGUCCUGAACUGCCCAUGUGCAGAACACGUCAUCAGGUCAAUCUUUCCAUGUAAAGUAGUUUUUUGUGACCAAUUGUUAAUUUGUUUUGACAUCUUUUUGUUAGGGGGUUUACAGGUACAUUUUCCAUUUCAUAUACGUUUAUACAACCUGUACUCAAGAGAAGACAACUAAGAAAUACAUAGAGAGUUUAAAUAUAAAUAAUACAAUCAGUAUAAACAGGAAAAUAAAACAAAAAAGAACAUUGUCCACCACCCCCAACCCCCUACAGCCAACCCCCUCCAGCCAACCCCCUCCCCACAACCCCAUUCCCCCAACCCCCUCCAGCCA